UUCAUUCUUUUAUUGAAGCAACGUUUAUGAUGUUUUCUGUCCUAGAUACAGUGAGAGAUAUAACCAUGACUCUCCGGUACCUACCCUCCAGAAGAUGUGAAUCUUACAGCAGAGGAGUUCCUAAAGGGCAGGACUAUUUUCAGGACCAAUCUCUACCUUGCUACUCUGCCUCCCCACCAGUAUCUUCCAGAGCACAGUGCCUGGCUCCAGGAGGCACUGAACGUAUGAUUAUUAAAUGAAUUCAUUAAAAAGUCUGGUCUUGGGUGCGUCAGUCAGUAGAGCAUGCGACUCUUGAUCUCGAGGUUGUAAGUUCAAGCCCCACACUGGGUGUAGAGAUUACUUAAAACAAAAUCUUAAACAAAUAAAAUAAAAAUUUUUAAAUUUGUGGCUCA